rnacentral:rRNA from 1 species
UACGGAGGGUGCAAGCGUUAUCCGGAUUCACUGGGCGUAAAGGGUGCGCAGGUGGCCAGGUGGGUGAGGCGUGAAAGCCCGGGGCUUAACCCCGGAAUUGCACCUCAAACUACUUGGCUAGAGCAUUGGAGAGGGGAGCAGAAUUCAUGGUGUAGCAGUGAAAUGCGUAGAUAUCAUGAGGAAUACCAGAGGCGAAGGCGGCUCCCUGGACAAUUGCUGACACUCAGGCACGAAAGCGUGGGGAGCAAAAGGG